rnacentral:rRNA from 1 species
GACGAACGCUGGCGGCGUGCUUAACACAUGCAAGUCGAACGGAAAGGCCCUGCUUGCAGGGUGCUCGAGUGGCGAACGGGUGAGUAACACGUGGGUGAUCUGCCCCUUACUUUGGGGUAAGCCUGGGAAACUGGGUCUAAUACUGGAUAGGACCAUGCUGUAGGUGGUGUGGUGGAAAGAUUAGUUUCGGUAAGGGAUGAGCUCGCGGCCUAUCAGCUUGUUGGUGGGGUAAUGGCCUACCAAGGCGUCGACGGGUAGCCGGCCUGAGAGGGUGGACGGCCACAUUGGGACUGAGAUACGGCCCAGACUCCUACGGGAGGCAGCAGUGGGGAAUAUUGCACAAUGGGCGCAAGCCUGAUGCAGCGACGCCGCGUGGGGGAUGACGGCCUUCGGGUUGUAAACUCCUUUCAGCCAUGACGAAGCCCUUGUGGUGACGGUAGUGGUAGAAGAAGCACCGGCUAACUACGUG